UACGUAGGGCGCAAGCGUUGUCCGGAAUUAUUGGGCGUAAAGAGCUCGUAGGCGGCCAGUUGCGUCCGCUGUGAAAUCCCGGGGCUUAACCCCGGGCGUGCAGUGGAUACGGGCUGGCUAGAGGCAGGCAGGGGAGAACGGAAUUCCCGGUGUAGCGGUGAAAUGCGCAGAUAUCGGGAGGAACACCGGUGGCGAAGGCGGUUCUCUGGGCCUGUACUGACGCUGAGGCGCGAAAGCUAGGGGAGCAAACAGG
rnacentral:rRNA from 1 species